rnacentral:rRNA from 1 species
CCUACGGGAGGCAGCAGUGGGGAAUAUUGGGCAAUGGGCGCAAGCCUGACCCAGCAACGCCGCGUGAAGGAAGAAGGCUUUCGGGUUGUAAACUUCUUUUCUCAGGGACGAAGAAAGUGACGUUACCUGAGGAAUAAGCCACGGCUAACUACGUGCCAGCACCCGCGGGAAUACGUAGGUGGAAAGCGUUAUCCGGAUUAACUGGGUGUAAAGGGCGUGUAGGCGGGGAAGCAAGUCAGAUGUGAAACCCACGGGCUCAACCUGUGGCCUGCAUUUGAAACUGUUUUUCUUGAGUACUGGAGAGGCAGACGGAAUUCCUAGUGUAGCGGUGAAAUGCGUAGAUAUUAGGAGGAACACCAGUGGCGAAGGCGGUCUGCUGGACAGCAACUGACGCUGAGGCGCGAAAGCGUGGGGAGCAAACAGGAUUAGAUACCCCUGUAGUC